rnacentral:rRNA from 1 species
CAAGUCGCACGAGAAAGUGGAGCAAUCCAUGAGUAAAGUGGCGUACGGGUGAGUAACACGUGGGUAAUCUACCUCUUAGUGGGGAAUAACCCUGGGAAACCGGGGCUAAUACCGCAUAAGCUCGAGAGAGGAAAGCAGCAAUGCGCUGAGAGAGGAGCCCGCGGCCGAUUAGCUAGUUGGCAGGGUAAGAGCCUACCAAGGCAUAGAUCGGUAGCCGGCCUGAGAGGGCACACGGCCACACUGGCACUGAAACACGGGCCAGACUCCUACGGGAGGCAGCAGUGGGGAAUCUUGCACAAUGGGGGAAACCCUGAUGCAGCGACGCCGCGUGAGCGAUGAAGCCCUUCGGGGUGUAAAGCUCUUUCGGCAGGGAAGAUUAUGACGGUACCUGCAGAAGCAGCUGCGGCUAACUACGUGCCAGCAGCCGCGGUAAUACGUAGGCAGCGAGCGUUGUUCGGAGUUACUGGGCGUAAAGGGUGUGUAGGCGGUUCUUUAAGUUUGGUGUGAAAUCUCCCGGCUCAACCGGGAGGGUGCGCCGAAUACUGAGGGACUAGAGUGCGGGAGAGGAAAGUGGAAUUCCUGGUGUAGCGGUGAAAUGCGUAGAUAUCAGGAGGAACACCGGUGGUGUAGACGGCUUUCUGGACCGUAACUGACGCUGAGACACGAAAGCGUGGGUAGCAAACAGGAUUAGAUACCCUGGUAGUCCACGCCCUAAACGAUGCAUAUUUGGUGUGGGUCAUUCAGUUGAUCCGUGCCGGAGCUAACGCGUUAAAUAUGCCGCCUGGGGAGUACAGUCGCAAGGCUGAAACUCAAAGGAAUUGACGGGGGCCCGCACAAGCGGUGGAGCAUGUG